GUGUCAGCCGCCGCGGUAAGACGAACCGUGCGAACGUUGUUCGGAAUCACUGGGCUUAAAGGGCGCGUAGGCGGGUCAUCAAGUCAGGAGUGAAAUCCUUCGGCUCAACCGGAGAAGCGCUUUUGAUACUGGUGAUCUCGAGGGAUGUAGGGGCAUGUGGAACUUCCGGUGGAGCGGUGAAAUGCAUAGAUAUCGGAAGGAACGCCGGUGGCGAAAGCGACGUGCUGGACAUCUUCUGACGCUGAGGCGCGAAAGCCAGGGGAGCAAACGGGAUUAGAAACCCCUGUAGUCC
rnacentral:rRNA from 1 species